AGGGGGUAUUCUGGUUGCCUUACCCAGCUCUGAAGUCUGUCAGCCUCUUCAGAUGUCACUUGCCCUGUGGUAAGGAAGUGUAGUUGGCAGCUGGUGCAGUGGCAAGAAGAGAAAGGAAGUUCCCCAAGACAGAAACAUCUCAGCAGACUCCAUCAUGAAUUCAUGGCACCACACAGUCCCCUGAUGCUAUAACAUCAUGGAUUUCUUUUGUCCAGUGAGAGGCCCAAAAGCUGCAGCACAGACAAUAUCAUAGUGUAGAAGUUUAACUAGACCGUGAUCAUGGGCUACAUUCUCCAUACCAGCUUCAUAGCUCCAGUGAGAAAAUAAAUUCCUGCACCCAGGAGACGUGGAGUAAGAGAUACAGCUGCCCUUGACCAUAUUUCUUACUUCCGAGAAGAUUGUAGCAGUAAUUCAGAAUCUCAUCCAGGAUACCUCAUCACAGGCUGGAGUGCAGUGUCAUGAGCUUGGCUCACUACAGCCUCCAUCUUCUGUGCUUAAGGAUCCUUCCCUCUCAGCCUCCAGGGUAGCUGAGACUGCAGACUCUAUCAGGAAUCACUUGGGACUGUGCAUUCUGUUGACACUCACUUUGUGGAAUUAAGUUGCCCACUGCCAACCCUAAAGCCACCAAGGUAGCAGAUGAGGUCUUGUUCUUUUGGCCAGGCUGGAGUGCAGUGGUACAGUCGUGACUCACUGCAGCUUCAAACACCUGGGUUCCAGCAUUCAUCCCACUUCAGCCUCCCGUGUAGCCGGGACUACAGGUAUGAAAUAAUUUCCUAUUGAAGUCAUCUUAACAUGGAACCAGAAUUAAAUCCUAACAACAAUCAUGUGAGCCUGGGGAGGAUCCUUCCCCACGUGAGCCUUCAGGGGAGACUUCAGCCUUGGCCAUCUUCUACAUCUAGAUUCCUGACCAAGAGAAGCUUUGGAGUUUGCUGUUUCGCCCAGGCUGGAGUGAAGUGGCGAGAUCUCCCCUCACUGCAACCUCCGCCCCCGGGGUUCAAGUGAUUCUCCUGCCUCAGCCACCACCAUUUAACACUGAGAAGUGGGCAGUCACAGAGAAAAAGUUUAGAAUAGUUCACCAGUGAAGUCAUCUCAACCAGCACAGGGCCUUGACUCCUAACAACAAUCACACGAACUUGGAAGAGGAGCCUUCCCCAACUGAACCUUCGCUUGAGACCUCGUCCUUGGCCAUCCUCUACAUCUGGAUUCAUGAUACAGAGAAACUUGAGUAAUGAUGACACUAGCAGUCCAGCCUGCAUGGAUGCUGACAUGGAUGCUGUCUCCCAUUCUUACCACUGGAUGGGAAGAAAUGCUAGAUGCAAUCCAGCCAGUCUGUACUCGACUGUCAGUUCCAUCUUCUCAACUCACAGUGUCUUCCAAAGUCCGUGCCACACCACAGCCUGGAACAUCUCCCAAGGUUUCAAAUAAUUCAUCAGUGAAUUCUUCUCAACCUGGUCAAUCAUGUGAACUUAGAAGAUGAUUCCUCCCCAGCUGAUCCUCAGGGAACACUAAGACCCAUUCUUCUUCUCAAGUAUCCAAAAAUAAAGUUGAUCCAAGUAAGAAGUGGACAGCAUAAAAGAUUGUAUGGAAGCUAUAAUGCAUCUACAUCUGCAGUAACUAAUCAUAAAAUGAUUUGUAUGAUCAUUCUUCACAUGAUUAGAAUUACUAUGGGAAAGAAGAAAAAGAAAUGCCUCUCUGGAUGGUGACUAUAACCUAUAGCCUUGCCCAAUAUGACUCAGGAUUUGGUACUGGCUGUGCCUUUCAUGGGAUGCUUACUUAUCCUGGUCGAUGGCCUAAAGCCCAACCGUCCAGCUUAUAUCCAGGGUCUCAAGCCACCCAGGCUGGAGUGCAGUGGCACAAUUAUGGCUCACUGUAGCCUCACCUUCCUGGGAUCAAGCAAUCUUCUUUCUUCAGCCUCCAGAGGAGCUGGGACCACAGAUCCUUUGGCAUUUGAGAGUUGCUUUGUGUAUACGGUCCUUUAACGGAGCAAAUGGCCAGCCAGGAAACCAAAGUAUGGACAAGGGGAAAGAAGCGUCUGUGGAGGAAGUUUUACAAGCGCCCUCCUCAUCCAUUUGGGUGGUGUUGCCCAUAUGCUACAUGUCUGUGGACCACUAUGUGUGUUUAAAGCUUUUUAGUAAAACGUUACUAAAAA
rnacentral:lncRNA from 1 species